rnacentral:rRNA from 1 species
UGAGGAAUAUUGCGCAAUGGGGGAAACCCUGACGCAGCAACGCCGCGUGGGUGAAGAAGGCCUUCGGGUCGUAAAGCCCUUUCGGACGGGACGAACGCUCCGCGGGGACAAGCCGCGGAGUCUGACGGUACCGUAGGAAGAAGCACCGGCUAACUCCGUGCCAGCAGCCGCGGUAAUACGGAGGGUGCGAGCGUUGUUCGGAAUUACUGGGCGUAAAGCGCGUGUAGGCGGCUUUGCAAGCCAGACGUGAAAGCCCUCGGCUUAACCGGGGAAGUGCGUCUGGAACUGCUUGGCUUGAGUACGGGAGAGGGAGGCGGAAUUCCCAGUGUAGAGGUGAAAUUCGUAGAUAUUGGGAGGAACACCGGUGGCGAAAGCGGGCCUCCUGGACCGAUACUGACGCUGAGACGCGAAAGCGUGGGGAGCAAACAGGAUUAGAUACCUGGUAGUCCACGCGGUAACGAUGGGCACUAGGUGUGGGGGGUAGUCCACUCCUCCCGUGCCGAAGCUAACGCAUUAAGUG